rnacentral:rRNA from 1 species
UGGGGAAUAUUGGACAAUGGGCGAAAGCCUGAUCCAGCCAUGCCGCGUGUGUGAAGAAGGUCUUUGGAUUGUAAAGCACUUUAAGUUGGGAGGAAGGGCAUUAACCUAAUACGUUAGUGUUUUGACGUUACCGACAGAAUAAGCACCGGCUAACUCUGUGCCAGCAGCCGCGGUAAUACAGAGGGUGCAAGCGUUAAUCGGAAUUACUGGGCGUAAAGCGCGCGUAGGUGGUUUGUUAAAUUGGAUGUGAAAGCCCCGGGCUCAACCUGGGAACUGCAUCCAAAACUGGCAAGCUAGAGUACGGUAGAGGGUGGUGGAAUUUCCUGUGUAGCGGUGAAAUGCGUAGAUAUAGGAAGGAACACCAGUGGCGAAGGCGACCACCUGGACUGAUACUGACACUGAGGUGCGAAAGCGUGGGGAGCAAACA